rnacentral:rRNA from 1 species
AUGAACGCUGGCGGCGUGCCUAAUACAUGCACGUCGAGCGAACAGACGAGGAGCUUGCUCCUCUGACGUUAGCGGCGGACGGGUGAGUAACACGUGGAUAACCUACCUAUAAGACUGGGAUAACUUCGGGAAACCGGAGCUAAUACCGGAUAAUAUAUUGAACCGCAUGGUUCAAUAGUGAAAGACGGUUUUGCUGUCACUUAUAGAUGGAUCCGCGCCGCAUUAGCUAGUUGGUAAGGUAACGGCUUACCAAGGCAACGAUGCGUAGCCGACCUGAGAGGGUGAUCGGCCACACUGGAACUGAGACACGGUCCAGACUCCUACGGGAGGCAGCAGUAGGGAAUCUUCCGCAAUGGGCGAAAGCCUGACGGAGCAACGCCGCGUGAGUGAUGAAGGUCUUCGGAUCGUAAAACUCUGUUAUUAGGGAAGAACAAAUGUGUAAGUAACUAUGCACGUCUUGACGGUACCUAAUCAGAAAGCCACGGCUAACUACAUG